rnacentral:rRNA from 1 species
AACGUAGGACACAAGCGUUAUCCGGAGUUACUGGGCGUAAAGGGCGUGUAGGCGGAUCGGUAAGUCUACUCUGAAAGCUCCUGGCUAAACUGGGAGAGGCGAGUGGAGACUGUCGGUCUAGAGUGAGGAAGAGGAAAGUGGAAUUCCGCGUGUAGUGGUGAAAUUCGUAGAUAUUCGGAGGAACACCAGUGGCGAAGGCGGCUCACUGGCUCGAUACUGACGCUGAGGUGCGAAAGCGUGGGGAGCAAACAGG